rnacentral:rRNA from 1 species
GACGAACGCUGGCGGCGUGCUUAACACAUGCAAGUCGAACGGAAAGGCCCUGCUUUGUUGGGCUGCUCGGGUGGCGGAGCGGGAAGUAACACGUGAGUAACCUGCCCUUGAUUUUGGGAUAACUUCAUGAAGCUGGGGCUAAUAGCGGAUAAGAUCUCUUGCUGCAUGGUGGGCGUUGGAAAGUUUCGGUGGUUGGUGAUGUACUGGCGGCUUAUCGGCUUGUUGGUGGGGUGGUGGCAUACCAAGGCUAGGACAGGUAGCCGGCCUGGGAGGCUGACCGGCCACAUUGGGCUGGGGCUGAGACCCGGACUCCAACGGGAGGCAGCGGAGGGGAAUAGUGUAUAAUGCGCGGAAGGAUGAUGCAGUACAGCAGCGUGCGGUAUGACGGCCUGCGGGUUGUAUACCACUUUCGCCUGUGACGAAGCGUGAGUGACGGUAACGGGUGAAGAAGCACCGGCUAACUACGUG